GCUGAAAUAGCUCAGUUGGUAGAGCAUCUCCAUGGUAAGGAGGAGGUCUCCGGUUCAAUUCCGGAUUUCAGCA
rnacentral:tRNA from 1 species